rnacentral:rRNA from 1 species
CGUGUAGAGCCUACCAUGGUGGUAACGGGUAACGGGGUGUUAGGGCACGACACCGGAGAGGGAGCCUGAGAAACGGCUACCACAUCCAAGGAUGGCAGCAGGCGCGCAAAUUACCCAAUCCCGACACGGGGAGGUAGUGACAAUAAAUAACAAUACGGGGUUCUUUCGGAUUUCGUAAUUGGAAUGAGUACAAUUUAAAUCUCUUAACGAGGAACAAUUGGAGGGCAAGUCUGGUGCCAGCAGCCGCGGUAAUUCCAGCUCCAAUAGCGUAUAUUAAAGUUGCUGCAGUUAAAAAGCUCGUAGUUGAAUUUCGGGAUCAAUAUGUCGGUCGUGCCUCGGUACGUACUGGCUUAUUGGUUUCUCCUUUCUGAAGAACCAUGAUGUCAUUUAUUUGGUGUCGUGGGAAAUCAGGACUGUUACUUUGAAAAAAUUAGAGUGUUUAAAGCAGGCUCACGCUUGAAUACAUUAGCAUGGAAUAAUGAAAUAGGACGUUUGAUUCUAUUUUGUUGGUUUCUAGGAUCGACGUAAUGAUUAAUAGGGAUAGUUGGGGGCAUUAGUAUUCAAUUGUCAGAGGUGAAAUUCUUGGAUUUAUUGAAGACUAACUACUGCGAAAGCAUUUGCCAAGGAUGUUUUCAUUAAUCAAGAACGAAAGUUAGGGGAUCGAAGACGAUCAGAUAGCGUCGUAGUCUUAACCAUAAACUAUGCCGACUAGGGAUCGGA